GGCCAUGUGGCGCAACUGAAUAGCGCACUUGAUUACGGCUCAAGAGGUUCCAGGUUUGAAUCCUGGCAUGGUCA
rnacentral:tRNA from 1 species